rnacentral:rRNA from 1 species
UUGAACUAAGAGUAUAAGGGUAGAGCUUUAUAUUCAAUAAUUAAUUAAAGAUGAUUAAAUAUAAAUUGUUUAUAAAUUAGGCUUUAUAGUGGCCAUAUUUUUAAAGUAUUUUAACUAUUAAAAUAAAAAAUUUUUUAUUAUUAUUCUCUUAAAAUAACUAGUAGAAUAAAUUUUAUAUUAAAAAUAGAUUAGGAAUAAUGAAAAUAUUAGUAGAAAUAUAAAUAUUAAAAUUUUAAAAUAAUAGAUUUAAUAAAUAUUUUUUAAUAACAAAAUAAAGGAAAAUUAAAGGAAUUCGGCAAAUUUUUUUCUUGCCUGUUUAACAAAAACAUGUCUGUAUGAAGUUAUAUAGAGUCUGGCCUGCCCGUUGAAUUAAUUUGAAAGGCCGCGGUAUAUUAACUGUGCCAAGGUAGCAUAA